rnacentral:rRNA from 1 species
UUGCUCCCGGAUGUUAGCGGCGGACGGGUGAGUAACACGUGGGUAACCUGCCUGUAAGACUGGGAUAACUCCGGGAAACCGGAGCUAAUACCGGAUAGUUCCUUGAACCGCAUGGUUCAAGGAUGAAAGACGGUUUCGGCUGUCACUUACAGAUGGACCCGCGGCGCAUUAGCUAGUUGGUGAGGUAACGGCUCACCAAGGCGACGAUGCGUAGCCGACCUGAGAGGGUGAUCGGCCACACUGGGACUGAGACACGGCCCAGACUCCUACGGGAGGCAGCAGUAGGGAAUCUUCCGCAAUGGACGAAAGUCUGACGGAGCAACGCCGCGUGAGUGAUGAAGGUUUUCGGAUCGUAAAGCUCUGUUGUUAGGGAAGAACAAGUGCAAGAGUAACUGCUUGCACCUUGACGGUACCUAACCAGAAAGCCACGGCUAACUACGUGCCAGCAGCCGCGGUAAUACGUAGGUGGCAAGCGUUGUCCGGAAUUAUUGGGCGUAAAGGGCUCGCAGGCGGUUUCUUAAGUCUGAUGUGAAAGCCCCCGGCUCAACCGGGGAGGGUCAUUGGGAAACUGGGAAACUUGAGUGCAGAAGAGGAGAGUGGAAUUCCACGUGUAGCGGUGAAAUGCGUAGAGAUGUGGAGGAACACCAGU